rnacentral:rRNA from 1 species
UACGUAGGGGGCUAGCGUUGUCCGGAAUCAUUGGGCGUAAAGCGCGCGUAGGCGGCCCGGUAAGUCCGCUGUAAAAGUCAAAGGCUCAACCUUUGAAUGUCAGUGGAUACUGCCGGGCUAGAGUCCGGAAGAGGCGAGUGGAACUCCUGGUGUAGCGGUGGAAUGCGCAGAUAUCAGGAGGAACACCGGUGGCGAAGGCGGGUCUCUGGGCCGAUACUGACGCUGGAGGAGCGAAAGCGUGGGGAGCGAACAGG